GACGUAGGGCGCAAGCGUUGUCCGGAUUUAUUGGGCGUAAAGAGCUCGUAGGCGGCUCAGUGCGUCAACCGUGAAAACCAGCAGCUCAACUGUUGGCUUGCGGUUGAUACGGGCAGACUAGAGUUCGGUAGGGGGGACUGGAAUUCCUGGUGUAGCGGUGAAAUGCGCAGAUAUCAGGAGGAACACCGGUGGCGAAGGCGGGUCUCUGGGCCGAAACUGACGCUGAGGAGCGAAAGCGUGGGGAGCAAACAGG
rnacentral:rRNA from 1 species